UACGUAGGAGGCAAGCGUUGUCCGGAAUUACUGGGCGUAAAGCGUGCGCAGGCGGUCUGUUAAGACCGAUGUGAAAUCCCCGGGCUCAACCUGGGAACUGCAUUGGUGACUGGCAGGCUUUGAGUGUGGCAGAGGGGGGUAGAAUUCCACGUGUAGCAGUGAAAUGCGUAGAGAUGUGGAGGAAUACCGAUGGCGAAGGCAGCCCCCUGGGCCAACACUGACGCUCAUGCACGAAAGCGUGGGGAGCAAACAGG
rnacentral:rRNA from 1 species